rnacentral:rRNA from 1 species
AUGAACGCUGGCGGCGUGCCUAAUACAUGCAAGUCGAGCGAACGGACGAGAAGCUUGCUUCUCUGAUGUUAGCGGCGGACGGGUGAGUAACACGUGGAUAACCUACCUAUAAGACUGGGAUAACUUCGGGAAACCGGAGCUAAUACCGGAUAAUAUUUUGAACCGCAUGGUUCAAAAGUGAAAGACGGUCUUGCUGUCACUUAUAGAUGGAUCCGCGCUGCAUUAGCUAGUUGGUAAGGUAACGGCUUACCAAGGCAACGAUGCAUAGCCGACCUGAGAGGGUGAUCGGCCACACUGGAACUGAGACACGGUCCAGACUCCUACGGGAGGCAGCAGUAGGGAAUCUUCCGCAAUGGGCGAAAGCCUGACGGAGCAACGCCGCGUGAGUGAUAAAGGUCUUCGGAUCGUAAAACUCUGUUAUUAGGGAAGAACAUAUGUGUAAGUAACUGUGCACAUCUUGACGGUACCUAAUCAGAAAGCCACGGCUAACUACGUG